rnacentral:rRNA from 1 species
CUGCAUGAAGUCGGAAUUGCUAGUAAUCGCGGAUCAGCAUGCCGCGGUGAAUACGUUCCCGGGCCUUGUACACACCGCCCGUCACACCAUGGGAGCCGGUAAUACCCGAAGUCAGUAGUCCAACCACGUGAGGACGCUGCCGAAGGUAGGAUUGGCGACUGGGGUGAAGUCGUAACAAGGUAGC